rnacentral:rRNA from 1 species
AGCAGCCGCGGUAAUUCCAGCUCCAAUAGCGUAUAUUAAAGUUGUUGCAGUUAAAAAGCUCGUAGUUGAAUUUCGGGACUAAUAUGUCGGUCGUGCCUCGGUACGUACUGGUAUUUUUGGUUUCUCCCUUCUGACGAACCUUGAUGUCAUUAAUUUGGUGUCUUGGGGAAUCAGGACUGUUAUUUUGAAAAAAUUAGAGUGUUUAAAGCAGGCUCACGCUUGAACACAUUAGCAUGGAAUAAUGAAAUAGGACGUUUGAUUCUAUUUUGUGGUUUCUAGGAUUGACGUAAUGAUUAAUAGGGAUAGUUGGGGGCAUUAGUAUUCAAUUGUCAGAGGUGAAAUUCUUGGAUUUAUUGAAGACUAACUACUGCGAAAGCAUUUGCCAAGGAUGUUUUCAUUAAUCAAGAACGAAAGUUAGGGAUCGAAGACGAUCAGAUACCGUCGUAGUCUUAACCAUAAACUAUGCCGACUAGGGAUCGGAUGAUGUUAAUUUUUAAUGUACUCAUUCGGCGCCUUACGG